GGGGAAUUUUCCGCAAUGGGCGAAACCCUGACGGACCAAUCCCGCGUGAGGGAGGAAGGCUCUUGGGUUGUAAACCUCUUUUCUCAAGGAAUAAGAAUGAAGGUACUUGAAGAAUAAGCAUCGGCUAACUCCGUGCCAGCAGCCGCGGUAAUACGGAGGAUGCAAGCGUUAUCCGGAAUGAUUGGGCGUAAAGCGUCCGUAGGUGGUUUUGUGUGUCUGCUGUUAAAGCGUGCGGCUUAACCGCAUAAGGGCGGUGGAAACUACAAGACUAGAGUACGUUCGGGGCAGGGGGAAUUCCCAGUGUAGCGGUGAAAUGCGUAAAGAUUGGGAAAAACACCGGUGGGGAAAGCGCCCUGCUAGGGCGUAACUGACACUGAGGGACGAAAGCUAGGGGAGCGAAAGGGAUUAGAUACCCCCGUAGUC
rnacentral:rRNA from 1 species